GACGAACGCUGGCGGCGUGCUUAACACAUGCAAGUCGAACGAGAGCGUAGAGAAAGCUUGCUUUUUCUACAAUCUAGUGGCAAACGGGUGAGUAACGCGUAAACAACCUGCCCUACGGAUGGGGACAACAGCUGGAAACGGCUGCUAAUACCGAAUACGUUCCGAAAGUCGCAUGACUAUCGGAAGAAAGGAUGGCCUCUAUUUAUAAGCUAUCGCCGGAGGAGGGGUUUGCGUCUGAUUAGCUAGUUGGAGGGGUAACGGCCCACCAAGGCGACGAUCAGUAGCCGGUCUGAGAGGAUGAACGGCCACAUUGGAACUGAGACACGGUCCAGACUCCUACGGGAGGCAGCAGUGGGGAAUCUUCCGCAAUGGGCGAAAGCCUGACGGAGCAACGCCGCGUGAGUGAAGACGGCCUUCGGGUUGUAAAGCUCGGUUAUACGGGACGAAUAAUCUUGUGGUUAAUACCCAUGAGAAGUGACGGUACCGGAAGAGAAAGCCACGGCUAACUACGUG
rnacentral:rRNA from 1 species